rnacentral:tRNA from 1 species
GAUCUUUUAGUAUAGUUAUGUAUUUUUAAUUGCAGAUUAAGAGGUUUUAAAGGUUUA